GGUCUGUAGCUCAGUGGCAAAGCGCUUGCCUAGCAUGCGUGAGACACUGGGUUCGAUCCUCAGCACCA
rnacentral:tRNA from 1 species